rnacentral:lncRNA from 1 species
AGAACAUCCAGGCCUGGAAGACAAGCUGAGGGGUGGAUAGAACUGUGUGGGGAGGAGUCUGGUGCUGACUGGUGAAUUCAGAAGCAGGAAAGAGGGACAGAGUGGAUUUUACAACCAGAAUAAAGCUGGGAAAUGCCCCCGUGAAUGGAGCCAAAGAAAGGUUGGAGUUUGGGGUAUGGUGUGUAUUUGAAGAUUCAAACUCCACGUGGUCUUCAGGAGCUCAAACACUCUCACACAGAACAGAAAGGAAGUCUCCAAAACGAAUGUGAAAUUGACAAAUCACCGCACUGCUUCAGGACCCCAGCCCAUGGAAUGCUGUGAUCAACAUUCAGAGUCGAUCAUCCUACAUCAAUUACCCUAAUCUAGGAAAUCCCACAGAGCCAGGACCAAAGACUCAAAUGGUCAUUAAAAGAAGAUAGUUUGAGGAAAUCCAUUUCAAUUGCUCUGCAUUGGAGAAAUCAUUAUUCUACGUGCACAGUUUUGAAGACCCAAUAUGACUAUUUUAGGCAUCAACUCUUCCUUAGAAAUUGUUAGUUUGGAGGGAUCAAAUUACAGAGAUUACUUCAUAUUUGGGAAAAGAAAACACAACAACCAAAAAUGCUAUUGCUAAAUGCACUUGCCAGAGUC